rnacentral:lncRNA from 1 species
AUUAAAAAGUCAGGAAACAACAGGUGCUGGAGAGGAUGUGGAGAAAUAGGAACACUUUUACACUGUUGGUGGGACUGUAAACUAGUUCAACCAUUGUGGAAGUCAGUGUGGAGAUUCCUUAGGGAUCUAGAACUAGAAAUACCAUUUGGCCCAGCCAUCCCAUUACUGGGUAAUGAAAAUGGUUGUUUAAACAUGAGCAGCAUAGGAAGAACAACCAUGUGAUAAGUAACAGGUGCUGGCAGUAAACCAGGUGGGGAUGGCAGAGCAGGGAAAGUUGAGGCACAGGGAUGGUGUCAAUGAAUGAGUUGGAUAUGGGGGAGAGAUUAUUUAAGUGUAUUUUGGACAAGAGAAGCAGGUUCUUCACUGUUUGAAAAGGGAGGUACAUAUAAGAGUGAAAACUAAAAUGUAUCCUAGAAUGUUGAAUUGAUAGAGAUAUCAAUAUUAAUUCAUU